GAUUCUGGAGAAUCAGCCUGAGAGACGGCUGAUAUUUCUACGGAAGGCAGCAGGCGUGAAAAUUACCCAAUCACAAUUCGUGGAGGUAGUUAAUAGACAUAACAUUCUCGGCCCAUCGGGUUCUGAGAGAGUAAUGAAUUCAAUUUAAAACAUUGAACGAAAUCCAUUGGAGGGCAAGUCUGGUGCCAGCAGCCGCGGUAAUUCCAGCUCCAAUAGCUUUGUUGAAAGUUGCUGCAGUUAAAAAGCUCGUAGUUGAAUAUCCGGCGUCUCUGACGUCUGCCUGAUACGACUUUCGAUACUGAAAGGUUUUGUCUGUUCGUUUGGGCGUUUACUGUGAACAAAUUAGAGUGCUCAAAACAGGCUUUUGCUUGGAUUUUUUAGCAUGGAAUAAUAGAAUACGACUUCGGUCAUUUUAUUGGUUAUUGAACGGAGUAAUGGUUAACAGGAACAGUUGGGGGCAUUCGUACUUAAAAGUCAGAGGUGAAAUUCUUAGAUUUUUUAAAGACGAACUAAUGCGAAGGCAUUUGCCAAGGAUGUUUUCAUUAAUCAAGAACGAAAGCGUUGGGAUCAAAAAGGAUUAGAUACCCUUGUAGUCAACGCCGUAAACGAUACUGACUAGGGAUUGGUGAGGUAAACCCUCAUCAGCACCUAAUGAGAAAUCAAAGUCUUUGAGUUCUGGGGAGAGUAUGGUCGCAAGGCUGAAACUUAAAGGAAUUGACGGAAAAAUACACAAGUCGUGGAUUCUACGGCUUAAUUUGAUUUAACACGGGAAAACUUACGCAGGCAAAAAGUUAAAAGGAUUGACAGCUUGAUAGCACUUUCUUGAUUUGGCAGCGAGUGGUGCAUGGCCGUUCUUAGUUGGUGGAGUGAUUUGUCAGGUUAAUUCCCUAAACGAACGAGAUCUUCACUUGCUAACUAGUCGCUGUUAAAACCUAGCAGUUGACUUCUUAGAAGGACUACGGUCCCAAAACCGUGGAAGUUGGAGGCAAUAACAGGUCCGUGAUGCCCUCAGAUGUUUGCGGCCGCACGUGUAAUACUUUUUUGAAUACAAUAAGUUCACCUAAUCCGAGAGGAGCUGGGUAAUCUUUAUAAUAUUCAAAGUACUUGGGAUAGAACUUUGCAAUUAUGGUUCUUGAACGAGGAAUGACUAGUAAGCUGGAGUCAUCAACCCCAGCUGAUUACUGUCCCUAUUUUUUGUACACACCGCCCGCCGCUCCCAUCGAUUGAGUGUGUUGACGAGUUCUUCGGAUCGACGUUUUAUGGACGUUGAGAAGUUGUGCAAGUUGACUCGCUUAGAGAAGGGAUAAGGCGUAACAAGGUU
rnacentral:rRNA from 1 species